rnacentral:piRNA from 1 species
UAGGAACUGUUGAUCAGCUACCUCUUUCUGU